CCUACGGGAGGCAGCAGUGAGGAAUAUUGGUCAAUGGUCGGGAGCCUGAACCAGCCAAGUCGCGUGAGGGAAGACGGUCCUAUGGAUUGUAAACCUCUUUUGGCGGGGAGCAAUGCCUGGCACGCGUGCCCGGAUGGGUAUUACCCGCAGAAUAACCAUCGGCUAACUCCGUGCCAGCAGCCGCGGUAUUACGGAGGAUGCGAGCGUUACCCGGAUUUAUUGGGUUUAAAGGGUGCGUAGGCGGAUUUUUAAGUCAGCGGUAAAAUGUCGGGGCUCAACCCGGGCCGGCCGUUGAAACUGGGAGUCGUGAGUGGGCGAGAAGUAUGCGGAAUGCGUGGUGUAGCGGUGAAAUGCAUAGAUAUCGCGCAGAACUCCGAUUGCGAAGGCAGCAUGCCGGCGCCAGACUGACGCUGAGGCACGAAAGCGUGGGGAUCGAACAGGAUUAGAUACCCCAGUAGUC
rnacentral:rRNA from 1 species